rnacentral:lncRNA from 1 species
GCUGAAGCACGCCACACAGCAGGGAUAUAAAUGCGCGAGGUUGUCAAACACUGAAGUUUCGACGGGCGCGUGGACACGUCACGCAUAUGCCAUGAAUUAAACAUAAAGUUAAAUAAAAUAGAAGUGCGUUUCAGUCAAACGCAACACUAUAGGCAGCGGUUCUCUGUGAGUGAUUUUUUUCCAACGCCAUAAGCACGCAUAAUUAUUGAUACUUGUGUGAUUAAUGGAUAUGACAAGCACAGGACAGAAACACUAGCUUUGGAUCAAGGCUUUGAAGAAACUGGAUCAUGGAGAGCUGCUGUCUUCAUACGUCAGUGUUUCGGGGUGAAGAUUUUUAAAAAUCAGUCUCUGACAAGCAAUUUUUACGCAAUUGCUGAGCAGCAAUCCAAAAUCAGAGGCCCUUGGUUUUAAAUUGAUGCUUAAGGCUAAGACUGAAAACUUUCACCUUGAUGUUCGCAAGAGAUGUUAGGACUGUUGUAAGUCUAACCGAAGGAACUUUC